AGGAUUGUAGUUAAUAAUAAUAUCUGGUUUGCAUCCAGAAGGUGUUGGACAUCAACCAAUCUUA
rnacentral:tRNA from 1 species